rnacentral:lncRNA from 1 species
UUAUUACCUACAAAAUCCGGUGAGUAAAAGUAAAAAUAUUCGGCUUCAUAGUCGACCCCUCACAGUAUUCCAAAAGUCGAAGCUUGAUCCAAUACGUAUUCGUUUCUUUUCUUGUUCAAUUUUGUUUUAAAUGGUCAUAAGUGGAUCAAUAGUUUGAAAGUUGUGGCGAGCGGUUGUGAAUGAAAGGAGAGAUUUUGUGCUUUGAAUAAAUGUCUUCUGUGUUUCUGUUUUCAGUCUUCGGCUUUGUUCUUGGCUCUUCCAGUCCUUUUGCCUUUUUUGGAAUAUUUAUAUUUCUCGAGUUCUACGCUUCGAAGUUUCCCGGAAUGUUCACUAACAAAACCUUCUUACGCAAGACAAGGUUAAAAAGUUAAAGAAGUCAGGCAGCAGUCAAGGUCCACUUAAUGUGGCUAAAGUUUGAUUCUCGAUCUGUCACUGUCUGAAAACACUAACAGCGGCUGGGAUUAGGUGAUGGCUUAUCAAACCCCACCAAUUAUUUAUUUAUUUUAUUUUAAUUU